AUUGAACGCUGGCGGCAUGCUUUACACAUGCAAGUCGAACGGCAGCACGGGGGCAGCCCUGGUGGCGAGUGGCGAACGGGUGAGUAAUAUAUCGGAACAUGUCCGGAAGUGGGGGAUAGCUCGGCGAAAGCCGGAUUAAUACCGCAUAUGCCCUGAGGGGAAAGGAGGGGAUCCGCAAGGACCUUUCGCUUUCGGAGUGGCCGAUAUCGGAUUAGCUAGUUGGUGAGGUAAAGGCUCACCAAGGCGACGAUCCGUAGCUGGUCUGAGAGGACGACCAGCCACACUGGAACUGAGACACGGUCCAGACUCCUACGGGAGGCAGCAGUGGGGAAUUUUUGGACAAUGGGGGAAACCCUGGAUCCAGCCAUGCCGCGUGAGUGAAGAA
rnacentral:rRNA from 1 species